rnacentral:rRNA from 1 species
UACUCCUACCGGGAGGCAGCAGUGGGGAAUUUUGGACAAUGGGGGCAACCCUGAUCCAGCAAUGCCGCGUGUGUGAAGAAGGCCUUCGGGUUGUAAAGCACUUUUGUCCGGAAAGAAAACGUCGUGGCUAAUACCCGUGGCGGAUGACGGUACCGGAAGAAUAAGCACCGGCUAACUACGUGCCAGCAGCCGCGGUAAUACGUAGGGUGCAAGCGUUAAUCGGAAUUACUGGGCGUAAAGCGUGCGCAGGCGGUUCGCUAAGACAGAUGUGAAAUCCCCGGGCUUAACCUGGGAACUGCAUUUGUGACUGGCGGGCUAGAGUAUGGCAGAGGGGGGUAGAAUUCCACGUGUAGCAGUGAAAUGCGUAGAGAUGUGGAGGAAUACCGAUGGCGAAGGCAGCCCCCUGGCCAAUACUGACGCUCAUGCACUAGCUACCUUAUU